rnacentral:rRNA from 1 species
GAUGAACGCUGGCGGCGUGCCUAAUACAUGCAAGUCGAGCGAACAGACGAGGAGCUUGCUCCUCUGACGUUAGCGGCGGACGGGUGAGUAACACGUGGAUAACCUACCUAUAAGACUGGGAUAACUUCGGGAAACCGGAGCUAAUACCGGAUAAUAUAUUGAACCGCAUGGUUCAAUAGUGAAAGACGGUUUUGCUGUCACUUAUAGAUGGAUCCGCGCCGAAUUAGCUAGUUGGUAAGGUAACGGCUUACCAAGGCGACGAUGCGUAGCCGACCUGAGAGGGUGAUCGGCCACACGGGAACUGAGACACGGUCCAGACUCCUACGGGAGGCAGCAGUAGGGAAUCUUCCGCAAUGGGCGAAAGCCUGACGGAGCAACGCCGCGUGAGUGAUGAAGGUCUUCGGAUCGUAAAACUCUGUUAUUAGGGAAGAACAAAUGUGUAAGUAACUAUGCACGUCUUGACGGUACCUAAUCAGAAAGCCACGGCUAACUACGUG